rnacentral:rRNA from 1 species
AACGAACGCUGGCGGCAGGCUUAACACAUGCAAGUCGAGCGCCCCGCAAGGGGAGCGGCAGACGGGGGAGUAACGCGUGGGAACGUACCCUUUGCUACGGAAUAGUUGCGGGUAACUGGAAGUAAUACCGGCUGUGCCCUACGGGGGAAAGAUUUAUCGGCAAAGGAGCGGGCGGCGUUGGAUUGGCUAGUUGGUGGGGUAAUGGCCUACCAAGGCGACGAACCAUAGCUGGUCUGAGAGGAUGAUCAGCCACAUUGGGACGGAGACACGGCCCAAACUCCUACGGGAGGCAGCAGUGGGGGAUAUUGGAAAAUGGGCGCAAGCCUGAUCCAGCCAUGCCGCGUGAGUGAUGAAGGCCGUAGGGUUGUAAAGCUCUUUCACCGGAGAAGAUAAUGACGGUAUCCGGAGAAGAAGCCCCGGCUAACUUCGUGCCAGCCGCCGCGGUAAGAC